rnacentral:rRNA from 1 species
AUGAACGCUGGCGGCGUGCCUAAUACAUGCAAGUCGAGCGAACGGACGAGAAGCUUGCUUCUCUGAUGUUAGCGGCGGACGGGUGAGUAACACGUGGAUAACCUACCUAUAAGACUGGGAUAACUUCGGGAAACCGGAGCUAAUACCGGAUGAUAUUUUGAACCGCAUGGUUCAAAAGUGAAAGACGGUCUUGCUGUCACUUAUAGAUGGAUCCGCGCUGCAUUAGCUAGUUGGUAAGGUAACGGCUUACCAAGGCAACGAUGCAUAGCCGACCUGAGAGGGUGAUCGGCCACACUGGAACUGGGACACGGUCCAGACGCCUACGGGAGGCAGCAGUAGGGAAUCUUCCGCAAUGGGCGAAAGCCUGACGGAGCAACGCCGCGUGAGUGAUGAAGGUCUUCGGAUCGUAAAACUCUGUUAUUAGGGAAGAACAUAUGUGUAAGUAACUGUGCACAUCUUGACGGUACCUAAUCAGAAAGCCACGGCUAACUACGUG